rnacentral:rRNA from 1 species
GACGAACGCUGGCGGCGUGCUUAACACAUGCAAGUCGAACGGAAAGGCCCUGCUUUUGUGGGGUGCUCGAGUGGCGAACGGGUGAGUAACACGUGAGUAACCUGCCCUUGACUUUGGGAUAACUUCAGGAAACUGGGGCUAAUACCGGAUAGGAGAUCCUGCUGCAUGGUGGGGGAUGGAAAGUUUCGGCGGUUGGGGAUGGACUCGCGGCUUAUCAGCUUGUUGGUGGGGUAGUGGCUUACCAAGGCUUUGACGGGUAGCCGGCCUGAGAGAGUGACCGGCGACAUUGGGACUGCGAUACGGCGCAGACUCGUACGGGAGGCAGCAGUGGGGAAUAUUGCACAAUGGGCGGAAGCCUGAUGCAGCAACGCCGCGUGCGUGAUGACGGCCUUCGAGUUGUAAACCGCUUUCGCCUGUGACGAAGCGUGAGUGACGGUAAUGGGUAAAGAAGCACCGGCUAACUACGUG